UUGAACUCAGGUCCUCCUGAAUCUAGGGCCAGUGCUCUAUCCACUGCGCUACCUACCUGCUCCCAACCUUUAAAUAUUUCUAAAGAUAUUCUCCUACGAUGGAUUCCAUGAAUUAGCUUUCACCAUCCUUCAAAACUGCCUGACCGAUGGAUAGAUAUCUUUUCCCUCUAUGACAGAGGAAAUUUGGGUAUCGGCACAACAAACUUCUGUUUUGGUCAUUGUUUAACAGACCAAUAAACAUUCCUUAAAUGCCUCCUCCAUGCAAGACAGUGUAUAAGGUGAUGGCUAAAACCAACCUAGUCUCUGCCAUCCACAAACUUGUAACCUAGCAGGAGGAGGAUGCUAAAAUGUUGUAUCCCCCUAUAGAAUGUAAGCUCCUUGAGGGCAAGCUCUAUUUCAUUUUGUCUUUGUGUCCUCAGUGCCAAGCCCAGUCUGUGUUGUAUAGCUGGCUCUUUAAUAAAUGCCUGUGGUUAGGCUGAGGCUCUUGGUCUCCCUAUGUAUUUAAUGGGUGCAUAUUAAAUGAUUUAGUCAGGACCAAGUCUGUCCCAGAAGGGCUGCAUUGUACCAACUUUAUAAAUAGGUGCAAAAAAUGUCAUUGAACCCCUUCCAUUUUUAUCCUCACAGAGGAUUGCCACCAGCCCUUCCCCCGUUUACCAGUCUAGAAUGGUGCAUAGGAACUUCAGGAGGACAGUCCCAGGACCAGCCAUAUAAUUUUUAAAUGUAAAAAAGAAAUAUUAACAAACAUCUCUCUUGCAACACCCUGCAUGUUGUGUCUUAAGUGGCUACCUAUCCUACCUAGCUCCAGCUCUUUAUGAAUUCAUAGGAUCAUAGAUUAUAGAGCUGAAGUGACCUUAGGAGUCAUUAAGUCCAACUCCCUUAUUUUUCAGAUGAAGAAACUAAGGCCAGAUAGGACAAGUGACUUGCCCAAAGUCACACAGCUGGACACACGGAAUACAGCAUUAACUGGACUGCCAUGCAUAAUGAUGAAGUCAAACAUCUAAAGAAUUCCCACAAAUUCUCCUUCAAAUAUAAAGUCCAUUUACUACAAACAGAAAAUAAACUGUGACUCUAAUUCAAUUCAGCAAACAUUUAUUAAGCUCCUACUAUGUGCAGAGCACUGGUUAAACUACUUUAAUCUUAAUAGUUUAUAAGGAAUCUCUGUGUGUGUACAGGUAUGUGUGUGUAUCUUUCAAAUACAUUAAAACCAGUGAUCAAUGUUACUGAGUCACUUUCAAAUAAAUGAAAUUAAUACUCAAAAUUUGGACAUACAUUUCAAUCUGGACUGAAAUAUUGGUUUAAAAAAUAAGAAACCCCUUUAAAAGGAAAUAGUGAACUCAUAAAAUUUCAUUCUUAAAAUACAUAUUUUAGACCAUGAGAAUGCAAAUAUAAAUAUCUGACAUGUUUGAAUUAGGGAAAAAAAACC